UACGUAGGGGUCGAGCGUUGUCCGGAGUUACUGGGCGUAAAGAGCGCGCAGGCGGUCGUUCAAGUCGAGUGUGAAAGCCCCCGGCUCAACUGGGGAGGGUCAUUCGAUACUGAUCGACUCGAAGGCAGGAGAGGGUAGUGGAAUUCCCGGUGUAGUGGUGAAAUGCGUAGAUAUCGGGAGGAACACCAGUGGCGAAGGCGGCUUCCUGGACCGACACUGACGCUGAGGCGCGAAAGCUAGGGGAGCAAACGGG
rnacentral:rRNA from 1 species